rnacentral:rRNA from 1 species
AGAGUUUGAUCCUGGCUCAGGACGAACGCUGGCGGCGUGCUUAACACAUGCAAGUCGAACGGGGUGUUUAUUUCGGUAAACACCAAGUGGCGAACGGGUGAGUAACGCGUGAGGAACCUGCCUCAAAGAGGGGGACAACAGUUGGAAACGACUGCUAAUACCGCAUAAGCCCACGGCUCGGCAUCGAGCAGAGGGAAAAGGAGCAAUCCGCUUUGAGAUGGCCUCGCGUCCGAUUAGCUAGUUGGUGAGGUAAUGGCCCACCAAGGCGACGAUCGGUAGCCGGACUGAGAGGUUGAACGGCCACAUUGGGACUGAGACACGGCCCAGACUCCUACGGGAGGCAGCAGUGGGGAAUAUUGCACAAUGGGGGAAACCCUGAUGCAGCGACGCCGCGUGGAGGAAGAAGGUCUUCGGAUUGUAAACUCCUGUUGUUGAGGAAGAUAAUGACGGUACUCAACAAGGAAGUGACGGCUAACUACGUGCCAGCAGCCGCGGUAAAACGUAGGUCACAAGCGUUGUCCGGAAUUACUGGGUGUAAAGGGAGCGCAGGCGGGAAGACAAGUUGGAAGUGAAAUCCAUGGGCUCAACCCAUGAACUGCUUUCAAAACUGUUUUUCUUGAGUAGUGCAGAGGUAGGCGGAAUUCCCGGUGUAGCGGUGGAAUGCGUAGAUAUCGGGAGGAACACCAGUGGCGAAGGCGGCCUACUGGGCACCAACUGACGCUGAGGCUCGAAAGUGUGGGUAGCAAACAGGAUUAGAUACCCUGGUAGUCCACACUGUAAACGAUGAUUACUAGGUGUUGGAGGAUUGACCCCUUCAGUGCCGCAGUUAACACAAUAAGUAAUCCACCUGGGGAGUACGACCGCAAGGUUGAAACUCAAAGGAAUUGACG